rnacentral:lncRNA from 1 species
GUAAUUCUUGGUUUAUUAUUAGAUAUUUAUUUAUUUAUUUAUUUAGGUUUAAUUUCACACAUACCUUAAACCUAAACAUGAAAAAGAAUGGAAUCGCAAUUUUAAGGUCUUGGAAAUAUGGAUUAGUUUUAUUCGAACGUUGUAAAAAACCUUGCAACAAAAUCCUCCACCCUCCCCGAUUAGGUGAUGAAAUGAAAAUUAGGGGAUCAUCAGAAUGAUGAUUGCAAAAGUGUAUCAUUCUCUCUAUCAAUCUUAAAGAAAAAAAUUAAUUUCUAAAAAAAGGCGCAGAAAGAGAUAAUAAUUUUAUUCAGAACACGUGUAUGCAAUUCCCGAAAAUUUCAAUGCAAUUCUUGGUCUCUUCAA